rnacentral:rRNA from 1 species
GAUGAACGCUGGCGGCGUGCCUAAUACAUGCAAGUCGAGCGAACGGACGAGAAGCUUGCUUCUCUGACGUUAGCGGCGGACGGGUGAGUAACACGUGGAUAACCUACCUAUAAGACUGGGAUAACUUCGGGAAACCGGAGCUAAUACCGGAUGAUAUUUUGAACCACAUGGUUCAAAAGUGAAAGACGGUCUUGCUGUCACUUAUAGAUGGAUCCGCGCUGCAUUAGCUAGUUGGUAAGGUAACGGCUUACCAAGGCAACGAUGCAUAGCCGACCUGAGAGGGUGAUCGGCCACACUGGAACUGAGACACGGUCCAGACUCCUACGGGAGGCAGCAGUAGGGAAUCUUCCGCAAUGGGCGAAAGCCUGACGGAGCAACGCCGCGUGAGUGAUGAAGGUCUUCGGAUCGUAAAACUCUGUUAUUAGGGAAGAACAUAUGUGUAAGUAACUGUGCACAUCUUGACGGUACCUGAUCAGAAAGCCACGGCUAACUACGUG